rnacentral:rRNA from 1 species
AAAGCGUGCGCAGGCGGUUAUGUAAGACAGAUGUGAAAUCCCCGGGCUCAACCUGGGAACUGCAUUUGUGACUGCAUGGCUAGAGUACGGUAGAGGGGGAUGGAAUUCCGCGUGUAGCAGUGAAAUGCGUAGAUAUGCGGAGGAACACCGAUGGCGAAGGCAAUCCCCUGGGCCUGUACUGACGCUCAUGCACGAAAGCGUGGGGAGCAAACAGGAUUAGAUACCCCAGU